rnacentral:rRNA from 1 species
AUUGAACGCUGGCGGCAGGCCUAACACAUGCAAGUCGAGCGGGGUUUUCGGACCUAGCGGCGGACGGGUGAGUAAUGCGUAGGAAGCUACCCGAUAGAGGGGGAUACCAGUUGGAAACGACUGUUAAUACCGCAUAAUGUCUACGGACCAAAGUGUGGGACCUUCGGGCCACAUGCUAUCGGAUGCGCCUACGUGGGAUUAGCUAGUUGGUGAGGUAAUGGCUCACCAAGGCGACGAUCCCUAGCUGGUUUGAGAGGAUGAUCAGCCACACUGGAACGGGGACACGGUCCAGACUCCGACGGGAGGCAGCAGUGGGGAAUAUUGGACAAUGGGCGCAAGCCUGAUCCAGCCAUGCCGCGUGUGUGAAGAAGGCCUUCGGGUUGUAAAGCACUUUCAGUAGGGAGGAAGCGUUGUGUGUUAAUAGUACACAGCGUUGACGUUACCUACAGAAGAAGCACCGGCUAACUCUGUGCCAGCAGCCGCCGUAAGAC